AAUGGCAUUUAGAGGCUUUUGCAUCUGAACUCUUCAAAUGCAGGUUGAUUGAACCCCUAUUAUAUAAUUACCUUUGUUUGAACAUGCUGGCCUAGGUUAAGGUAUAAAAAAGUGUCCACUGUCUGAUUAACAAUGCCAUAUGUGAGCUGAUGUGUUCAUAUUUCUAUAAACUGCAUUCGCUUAAACUUAUUGUCUUAUUAUUGACAACUACAAAUCGACCAAAUUCUGAUUAUCACACCUGAGAUUCCCUUAAUUUCCACUUAAGUCUCACAGACAGUUAUAUAUUUGUUUCCAUCAAUAAACAUUGUUUACCAAUAAUGAUACAGAACAACAGCAGAAGCAAAACUGGCUGAUCUUAGGAGAGCCAGCUUUUAAUGUUUCUCAGCUCUGUUCUUGCGCACCUCAACAGCACACAUUUCUCAAUACACUGAUUAUAAUACUGAAAGUCCUGAAAUAGGUGCGUCAGAUGAGGGAGAGAUCCAAAAAGUGUACUGUUGGGGAGGCCUCCGUGAAGGACCAGGGUUGGGAAACACUGUGCUAGGAAAUCUCGACAUGCCAGCAAACCUCCCGGGGGCCUUAAUCAGCGAGCGGCGCUGCUUCUCUCUCCUACCACCAAUUCAUCACGCCCUGUCAAUUGCAAACCAUGCUGCGGCGCACUUACACACAAGAUUAUUGUCAAUAUAGAUUUUUAAAUAGAAAAAUCUAUUCGCUAAACACUCCAGUCGAUAGGAGCAAAUCGAUUCCACUAGGCAGCAAAACUCUCUGUGAGCUCAGGCUCAGAAGUCUUGGCAAUGACCGAGAUGUAAACCAAAACACAAAUGAUGCUUUUUGGCAUCUACUUGCCACAUAUAAUGACGUAGACAUUGUGUUGUUUUGCAUUACUAAUAAAAGUGAUACAAUUACUGCUCUUGCUGAAGACCAUGUUGUGUUCAUUUUUGGGGGGUCUCUGACGUCUGCAACAUCCCGCUUUCCAUCCUUAUUUUGUUCAAUAAAAGGAUGUGUUUCAUUGUCCCUGUCCAUCCUUGAAUCUCGCUAUUGACAGAUGACAUCUGCAGGUCAAGUGAAACAGAUGAAACGGAGUGACCGGUUGUCCCUCGCAUACCCCCUUGACGCGCUGAGGUAACGGGGCGCUCGGGCCCCUCCCUCCAGUACUCCUUUCAGACAAAAGCAAUUAUUUCUUGUAGAAUAUAGUGUGGUUGUGCACAUCUAAGAGAAGGAGAGAGGGACUGGAGGGAAAGAGAGAGUGCGAAAUUGAGGGAGAGGAAAAUAAGAUGGUGUUGGAAGGAUAGGGAGCUAACACCUCCUUCCUAUAGCUGUGCACUCCUCAUCUAAACAAACCUAGCUAUUGUUUAUGUGGCUUCCUGGAGUGAUGGGAAAGAAAAGCUGUUUCUUAUUCACACACACCAGAGGAGAACUGGCCCAGCGACUGAGCAUGGUUUCUCCCAAAGUUGUUUUUCUCCAUUCUGACACCAGUUUGGGUUCCUUGCCACUGUCACCUCUGGCUUGCUAAGUUGGGGACACUUAAUAUUCAACAAUAUUAUUGUUCUGAUGUACUGACACUGUUGAAUGAGAACGGAACUGAGUUGAACGAUGACAUUAUUUUUGGCAGAAUUGCUUUAUAGAUGAAAUGAGAACUAAUGAACUAAUAAUUGAUGAUCUUUACAACGGUACUGACUUCAGCUGAACAAGUGUAUCAAAUGUUCACUAAAGCUGCUUUGAAACAAUCUGUAUUGUAUAAAAGCGCUAUAUAAAUAAAGGUGACUUGGCUUGA